rnacentral:rRNA from 1 species
CCUACGGGAGGCAGCAGUGGGGGAUAUUGCACAAUGGGGGGAACCCUGAUGCAGCGACGCCGCGUGGGGGAAGAAGCGCCUCGGCGCGUAAAGCCCUGUCAGCAGGGAGGAAACUGCCGGUACCUGAAGAAGAAGCCCCGGCUAACUACGUGCCAGCAGCCGCGGUAACGAGGAGGGGGCAGGCGUUAUCCGGAUUUACUGGGGGUAAAGGGGGCGCAGACGGCGAUGCAAGGCCGGAGUGAAGGGCCGGGGGCAAACCCCGGGACUGCGCUUGAAACUGCGUGGCUGGAGUGCAGGAGGGGCAGGCGGAAUUCGUGGUGUAGCGGUGAAAUGCGUAGAUAUCAGGAGGAACACCGGUGGCGAAGGCGGCCUGCCGGACUGCAACUGACGUUGAGGCCCGAAGGGGCGGGGAGCAAACAGGAGUAGAUACCCGAGUAGUC